UUUGCCUACGGGGCGCAGCAGUGGGGAAUAUUGCACAAUGGGGGAAACCCUGAUGCAGCGACGCCGCGUGAAGGAAGAAGUAUUUCGGUAUGUAAACUUCUAUCAGCAGGGAAGAAAAUGACGGUACCUGACUAAGAAGCCCCGGCUAACUACGUGCCAGCAGCCGCGGUAAUACGUAGGUGGCAAGCGUUGUCCGGAUUUACUGGGUGUAAAGGGCGUGCAGCCGGAGAGACAAGUCAGAUGUGAAAUCCACGGGCUCAACCCGUGAACUGCAUUUGAAACUGUUUCCCUUGAGUGUCGGAGAG
rnacentral:rRNA from 1 species